rnacentral:tRNA from 1 species
GCGGCUAUCGUAUAACGGCUAUUAUGUAUGCUUCCCAAGCAUAAGACGAGAGUUCGACUCUCUCUAGCCGCACCA